rnacentral:rRNA from 1 species
AUUCGGCGACGAGCGGCGGACGGGUGAGUAAUGCUUGGGAAUAUGCCUUUGAGUGGGGGACAACAGUUGGAAACGACUGCUAAUACCGCAUAACGUCUACGGACCAAAGGGGGGGACGCUUCGGCACCUCUCGCUCAUUGAUUAGCCCAAGUGAGAUUAGCUAGUUGGUAAGGUAAUGGCUUACCAAGGCGACGAUCUCUAGCUGGUUUGAGAGGAUGAUCAGCCACACUGGGACUGAGACACGGCCCAGACUCCUACGGGAGGCAGCAGUGGGGAAUAUUGCACAAUGGGCGAAAGCCUGAUGCAGCCAUGCCGCGUGUGUGAAGAAGGCCUUCGGGUUGUAAAGCACUUUCAGCGAGGAGGAAAGGUUAGUAGUUAAUAACUGCUAGCUGUGACGUUACUCGCAGAAGAAGCACCGGCUAACUUCGUG